GUGAUGCACAAACCAUUCAAGCAGACCCUUCUAGAGCCAUCCCGUGGUUCCCGCAUCUCUUUUUCCUCUGCCAUGAGACAAACACAUGCCAGAAGGGGCGGUUCCUUCUGCCAGUAGAAAGAAACCAGGGAGCAGAGCUGUAUCUGACCUGAAAAGGAUCUGCAAUGCAAGCAAGAAGUGGACCUUUGUUGUGAGCCAUUCAGAUCUUGACAAUGCUUGUUACCAUAGUGUAACUUAACAGAAUGCAGCUCAUCAAUGGGAUGUUGAUUCUUGAAAGACUGUGGAAGCCAUUGUUAAAUAUGGCAGAGCUUCCAUCAACCUGAGUCCUUGACUGCGCUGAAUGAGACAGAGGCCCUCCUCAAUCCCAACCAGAAAUACCUACACUGGAUUGUAAGUGGGAAAGGCAAGCCACAGACCCUGAACACAGAUAGCUUGGAUUCAAAUCUCACCUCCACUGCUUAGUAACUGUGAUGCUUGGGACAAGCAACUACACAGCUGCAAUUUCCUCAUCUGUAAAGUGGGAAUGAUAUUUAGUAUCAACCUC